UGCCUCACAAUACUGAGAAACUCACACUUAGCUGUUGUGUCUUCUAGUGCUAAUGAAGUGAUUGCCAAACACUGGAACAAGAAGCUGUUUACCCAAGGUCAGAGUCUUAGGAACAAUUUAUUUUCCUCAGUAACGUGUAUGUCUUUUUUCAGAAAUUAGCAGUCUACGAAAGAUAAUGAGCUCAGUGAAUCUUAUUAACACAAGUUACAGCUGACUGACAAGCAGUUGUCUGAAGAGGUGUGGACUAUUCAAGUCAGUCUUAGAGGAGAUGGAUUAGUGGCAGGAAAAAAUUGAGACAAUUAAAUCCAAAGAAACAAGUCAGUUCUGGAAGGCUUAUUUAUCCUGAGGUGCACCUGGCAAAUCAUUUGUUUGCAGCUCCCUGGCAGUGAGUGACCAGGAAUUCAUCAGUCCAUGCAUGUGUCUCAGGCUCCUUUUGGAGAUACCCACCUGUUGGGACGUAAUGGACUGGGAAAAACAUAAUCCAUUUGGUAGUCAAGAUUCAAUGCAUCACAGAUGUCAACUACUGCAGCUGGAGAAUUUGUUUAAGUGGGUGGACAACACGUCAUCUGUACUAUGUACAGCUCCUUUGCCAUGUUAAGGCCUAGGCAUGCACUUGUGGCUGACUUUCCAUCAAUCACAUCUCUGAUAACUGAUUAGGCACAUCUGGAUAUGGAAGGGUUUGAUGAGGAGGCGGAUGGGCAGCUAUCACAGGUGAUGGCCAACUAAUGGUCAGGGUAAGGGUCAAUGACAGGACUGAAGAAGCAAACAGAUGUGUCUCCUCUUUUCCAAACAGUGUAUGUCAUAGUAUAACAGCUGUGAAGGGAAAAGAUGACUUGUGGGACUUAAACUGCAAUCUUCAUAAACUAGGCUUACAGAAAUUUCACAGCAGACUUUAACCAGAUGAAAAUACCUUCAUAUCUGACAUAUAAAGGAAAUACCUACGUUUUUCAAAAUCUACAGUUUUCUUUCACUGUCUCUGGACUGCUAAGAAAUAUUGAAAAGCUUUCGCUGUAGCUGAAUUAUUACCCUAACUUAAUUCAGUCUAAAUUCAUUUUCUCUUAUGUCUUGCUUGUGAGACCUAGAGAAGCCCGCAGGUUCUGAAACUAUUCUCACUUUUAUUGAUCUUAAGCCUGACAGUCGGAUUCACAAAUACAAACAGCAAUGUUCCUAAAAUUUAAAUAGAUGCAAGUACAAAAGUUAGACUGCUUCCUUAAAGAGAUAGACUAAAUUACUCCAGUGGAUAAACUAGCCCUAUGUGUGCCUGAGAGAUGAUUUCAGCUCCUUCAGAGAUUUCUGCACCUUCAGGAAAUGCAGAGUUAGUUAUGCAAUUAUCAUUUAAGGAUAAAAUAUGUUUAUAAAAUAGUCUUUUACAAUAAAAUUUAAAAAGGAGAAACCUAAAACCUUUCAUUUGACUACAGAGCUGAGAAAAAGAUGGUGAGAAGAAUCUGUAUUUCCAGUGCAAAACUGGCCCAGAAGCCCAGUUACACAUAGCAUGUGCACUGCCCUGUGGGAGCUCUAUGUUACAUGCACAGUAUUUUUCUCUCACUCUUAUUCUCCAGAUAAGUAAAGGCUGAAGCAGGUUAUAAAUGCAUACCUGGCAGGAGGCCAGGACAGAGCCAUUAACUGUAUUCUGGAAAAAGAAGUGUCAUGUAAUGUCUGAUCAAGAAUUAUGCAGUUGCUGAAGAUAAGAAGAUUUUCCCCUUAAAAUUCAUGAGGAAUGACUACCGAGUCCUGGAAGCUGGGUGACCUAACCUGUCAGUCAGCAGAGAGAACCCCCAGUCUGCUGUUCUUAUUGCUGCUGCUGUGCUAUCUCAUAAGUCCUACAGCCAUUGUGCUGCAGUUCAGCUCGCACUCAUUCAAUUAGCCCGGCUCAUCCAAGCAGCCAUUUGACAUGACGUGUUCCUUUACAGGUGCACUGCUAUAAAUCAGGAGCAAGACCAUGGAGGUUGGAGGGUUAGUGUCAAUAUAUAAGCAACAUAAGCAAAAACAGGCUCAAACAAGAGUAAAAAAUCUAGCCAGCUUUUAAAAUUUAUGCUGAAUGACAGAUUUAUGGGGUAGAUAUAAACUAUUCAAGGCAGGGACUAAUUUUUUCUUCUCCAGUAUUCCACAUAUUGAUACCGGAGCCCUCAGAGUAUGUAUAAUUAUAUGUCUAUUAUAAAGAACAUUUUUAUUUUUAGACAUGAAAAACAACAUUGUCAGCAAAGCAUAAAUGUAUCUUUUGAGAAAGACGGCUCACCCACCCAAUCUUUAGUAAUGACAGAGGGGAAAAAGUUGGUUCCUAGAACUGUAUUGAACACAUACAACCAAACCUACCAUAUCCAGUAUAAUGCUGGCAUAUAAUGAUUGUGUUUUCUUUCACUCUUUACCCUUCAUGUUCAGUGUUUUAGGACUUUUAAUCUCAGAGUUUCACUGUUAUCUGUCUCUGUGUGUGGAUGAUAGAAGGACUUUCCAUAUGCUCAGAAUAACUUAAAUAAACUCUUCAGCCAUUUGAAAUGUGAGUGUUACUGUUUUAAGGAAUAAAAAAGAAGAUGUAGGGGAAAUGACAGAUGUUUUUACUCAGCAGUGUGCUCCCAUGUUUUUAAUAAAGAUUUUGGGUAUAUAAAUAGUGCUUUCAAGGCUAAAUAUUUUUUAUGUGGUAUUGAGCUAUAGCUUUGUUGGGUUUUUUUCAGAAUGAAACUCAGCUGGGGAAAAAAUUAUAUGAUGUGAUAUUAAUAUACCUGUAUAUGUCUUUAUGAUUCUGUAAAAGUAUAUGGAUCUUUAAAAUUAAAAUAAAACCAGAGUAAGAAUUAAAUAACAUUAAUAUAUUAGAAACUUGAACUGAUUGUGUAAGCAACUAUGUUUCCAAACAUCCUUGCAGACUCCAUAUGGUUCCAGCAGUCAGAUCACACCCCCCAGUUUGAGACAAAAAAGUUUUAUUCUAUGUAGUACAUAAUGUCAGCCCCACUUAGGCCCUACAU